rnacentral:rRNA from 1 species
GGGGAAUUUUGGACAAUGGGGGCAACCCUGAUCCAGCCAUGCCGCGUGAGUGAAGAAGGCCUUCGGGUUGUAAAGCUCUUUCGGCCGGGAAGAAAUCGCAUGGGUUAAUACCCUGUGUGGAUGACGGUACCGGCAUAAGAAGCACCGGCUAACUACGUGCCAGCAGCCGCGGUAAUACGUAGGGUGCGAGCGUUAAUCGGAAUUACUGGGCGUAAAGCGUGCGCAGGCGGUUUGGUAAGACAGGCGUGAAAUCCCCGGGCUCAACCUGGGAACUGCGCUUGUGACUGCCUCACUAGAGUACGGCAGAGGGGGGUGGAAUUCCACGUGUAGCAGUGAAAUGCGUAGAGAUGUGGAGGAACACCGAUGGCGAAGGCAGCCCCCUGGGCCGAUACUGACGCUCAUGCACGAAAGCGUGGGUAGCAAAC